rnacentral:misc_RNA from 1 species
UUAUAUCUCUGAAUAAAUAUCGAGAAUGUGAUUCCCCACAGGUUCGUAUAUGAACGAAAUCGGGAUCAUAUCGCUGACGCAACGCGUGAGAUGUGAACCAGGGACUCCGAAGAAUCCCUCGCUGAUGACCAGCAGCAUCGAGGAGCUUUCGCGGCGAACAAUAUAUAAUGGGUACUACCUGUUCCUGGGAACAAGAAUAUUGUACGCCGCCCACGGGGGGCGGUAAAUUAAUCGUGGAGAAGGAGAGAAGUAAAAGGAAACCGGCUGAUUGUGAGUUUUUCCGAAAAUUAUUUUUUAUCCAUUACAACAAGUGUAUUGUAUAUGUUCGCGGUGAACGUUGAUUUAUUUUUAACUAACCACCGGAUCGGAAGUUUU